ACCAUCACUGCUACUCCAUUAAUGUUGUAUCACUAUUCAGAUGCAGUUUAUCGCAGGGAACAGCUUAAACUCAAAUAUAUUAGCAUCUAUCCGAUCAUGACAACACUUCUUAGUUGGUACAUAACAUAUGGGCAGAGGCUGUGCUUGCCGGAGACUAUCUGUCUUUCAGGCUUAAGAAGCAAUGGCGAGUCAACUGCUGUCGUGCCACAGUCUCUGUUUAUCAUGUUCUUAUUAUCUUUCUUAUUAUGAAAGGAAAAGCUAAAUGUGUUCAUUUGUUUGCAGGGUGAUAGACAACUUAAUCACGUCAUAGGGCAACAGGAAGGAUAGAAGUGGAGGGAAAAAGAGCAAGCAACUUUUCUUCUAUUCGAUUGGGAAGGAGUUUGGAACUGCAGACCCAUGGCUAUAAGGAAGUCUGGUGUGGAUGCCCAGCCUUGCCCCAAAGGGCAAUAGGUCCUCGCUGAGUACUCCUGCAUCCACUGCUCUCCCAUCUUCCCGUUUGUAAAGAAAAGAAGACAAAGACAUUAUUUAAUUAUCCUCUUCGGGACAAAAAAGUACCACGUGGAAGAUGGAGGCCAACUAUUUCUUCUUCAGGAGAGUCAAAAGAAUCACACUCAAGAAGAGGUUCACUACAAAAUCUAAGGAUGCUCAUGGCCAGAAUGCAUUUCCAGGCAAGAGUUUGUGGACACUGAGUUCACAAAGGUGCGGAUGAAGACUGUGCGCUGGGCUUCACUAGCACAAAGACGGGCUGAUGGUGCAAAGACGAAGAGGAACAGUCCCAGCCAUCAGGGAACUCAGCAGCUUAGAAGAUACUAAACAGCUACUCCUCCAGGAAUUAAGUUCCCUCACUACAAAGCUGCCAUAUUAAGAAACAUCUUUAUAAAUUAAGGGAAGCAGGGUUGGCAGGAUUGAAGGGUCAAUGCAAGCACUGAAACACAAUAGCAAGGAAUAGGUAGAGGCAGAAACUGUGAUGUGGUAAUCAUCUUCUACCCGUGUGCACUGUCCCCAUACCUCCCACGACACACUCUCCCCUCAGUCGCCACUUUCCCUGGUCUCUAUGCUCUCAGGUACCCUCUUCUUAGUCCCUCUUUCUUACGUUUAAAUGAGGAGUAACAUGACACUAGACAUCUGUACUUAUUUAUUAGUUACAUGUUAGUAUGUUGGUUCCUUUGGUUCUUAUGUUACCAAUUGAUUUCAUGAUUCUUUUGUUUUUAAGUUUCUAGUUAGGAAAUUGAAGGCUCUGUCACUGCUAUAGGCAUUUCAAGCUUGGCCAUUAGGCUCUGUAUAUUGACAGAGAUGAGAAAGACUGCUAUAGGUACAUUUUUAGUUCUCUUAAAAAAAACGGGUAAAAGACGUGGGGUAGAAGAAUUAGAAGCAAUGCAGAGUCCGUGUUUUUUUCUUUCUCCUAAGGUUAUGGCUCGUGUCCCAAGUUGUUGGAAAGGAACCUCUGGUUGCAGCAGGACUGACGGUACAAUUUGCAAGCCCAGUGUGAAAUGAAAAUGCAGGGCCCCUUGAUCAAAAAUUAUAAAGAAUCUCAAGACGGCGCCAGCAGAGCGUUAAAGCAAGCCCCAAGUCCCAGGCGCUGCACAGCCUCGCUCUUCUGCAGUUCAGCUCUUCCUUUUACGUUCCUCUUCUGGCUACCUCAUUUAUCCUUCCGUAAACCUUCACUGAUGAGAGAUGUGGUAGCACAAGCAAGUCUAUCAUUCUUGCAACUAAAAUGAACCGCACACUUAGGACACCACAGGUCUCCCACUGUCAUUUCUUCCUCUUACCUUGUACCAUCUAAAAAUUGCAGGGAUGUAUUAAAAUGCUUUCUACUCCAUGUUAUUUUAAGUAAUAUUUAAUUAGGUUUUUAUGCUUUAAUAUGAUGUCUGAUGUUCUGGAUCGUAUCCUCUGAUUUUUUUUCUACUAUACUAAAGUUCCUGACACUA